AUUGAACGCUGGCGGCAGGCCUAACACAUGCAAGUCGAGCGGAGCGGCGGACGGGUGAGUAAGGCCUAGGAGUCUGCCUGGUAGUGGGGGAUAACGUACGGAAACGGGCGCUAAUACCGAAUACUAGCCGUUGAGCAUAGGUCGGAUUAGCUAGUGGGUGGGGGAAAGGCCUACCAAGGUGACGAUCCGUAACUGGUCUGAGAGGACGAUCAGUCACACGGGAACUGAGACACGGUCCAGACCCCUACGGGAGGCAGCAGUGGGGAAUAUUCGACAAGGGGGGAAAGCCUGAUGCAGCCAGGCCGCGUGUGUGAAGAAGGUCUUCGGAUUGUAAAGCACUUUAAGUUGGGAGGCGUUACCAACAGAAGAAGCACCGGCUAACUUCGUGCCAGCAGCCGCGGUAAUAC
rnacentral:rRNA from 1 species